rnacentral:rRNA from 1 species
UAUGUGAUCGUCUCUCGCAUAUCAAUAAGCGGAGGAAAAGAAACUAACAAGGAUUCCCCUAGUAACGGCGAGUGAAGCGGGAAGAGCUCAAAUUUGAAAUCUUAAAGGGUUUCCCUUUACGAAUUGUAGUUUAAAGAAGUGUUUUCUGUUGAGGUUUUGGUAAAAGUUCUUUGGAAUAGGACAUCAUAGAGGGUGAGAAUCCCGUAUUUGACCUUUACUUUCAACUUUGUGAUACACUUUCAAAGAGUCGGAUUGUUUGGGAAUGCAGUCCAAAAUGGGUGGUAAAUUUCAUCUAAAGCUAAAUAUUGGCGAGAGACCGAUAGCGAACAAGUACCGUGAGGGAAAGAUGAAAAGAACUUUGAAAAGAGAGUUAAACAGUACGUGAAAUUGUCAAAAGGGAAGCGUUUGACACCAGUGUUGUUUUUCUGAAAAUCAAUUAAAGAACUGUUUAUGCUAAGCUGUUUAGACUUUAUCAGGCUAACUGUUUAGUUUUGAGCUUUUCUUUAAUGCACUUUUCAGUUAACAAGUCAACAUCAAUUUCUUUUGCUGUAAAAAAGCUUGAGGAAGGUGGCUUGAGAUUCGUCUUAAGUGUUUAUAGCCUCUUGCCUAUGCAGUCGGAGAGAUUGAGGUCUGCAGCGUAGAUCCUUCGGGGCUAAAUGCAUUUGUGCUAAGUUAUAGCAUUUUAUAGACAACUUGUUGACUAUGAUUUGUCUUGUAGCUUACUCGCUUAUGUUAUUUUACCUACGCUUAGGAUGUUGACACACGCGCGUGCUCGAUCUAUACAUGGCUCUGUGCAUAUCAAUAAGCGGAGGAAAAGGGGGCUAUUACCUACGCUUAGGAUGUUGACACACGCGCGUGCUCG